rnacentral:rRNA from 1 species
AACGAACGCUGGCGGCAGGCUUAACACAUGCAAGUCGAACGCAUCCUUCGGGGUGAGUGGCAGACGGGUGAGUAACGCGUGGGAACGUGCCCUUCAGUUCGGGAUAACCCAGGGAAACUUGGGCUAAUACCGGAUACGUGCGAGAGCAGAAAGAUUUAUCGCUGAAGGAUCGGCCCGCGUCUGAUUAGCUAGUUGGUGGGGUAAUGGCCCACCAAGGCGACGAUCAGUAGCUGGUCUGAGAGGAUGCUCAGCCACAUUGGGACUGAGACACGGCCCAAACUCCUAUGGGGGGCAGCAGUGGGGAAUAUUGGACAAUGGGCGCAAGCCUGAUCCAGCCAUGCCGCGUGAGUGAUGAAGGCCUUAGGGUUGUAAAGCUCUUUCGUCCGGGACGAUAAUGACGGUACCGGAAGAAGAAGCCCCGGCUAACUUCGUGCCAGCCGCCGCCGUAA